rnacentral:rRNA from 1 species
UACAGAGGUCUCAACCGUUGUUCGGAUUCAUUGGGCGUAAAGGGUGCGUAGGCGGUCGUGCAAGUCGGAUGUGAAAUCUCAGGGCUCAACCCUGAAACUGCAUUCGAUACUGCGCGGCUAGAGUGCUGGAGGGGAGACUGGAAUUUACGGUGUAGCAGUGAAAUGCGUAGAUAUCGUAAGGAAGACCAGUGGCGAAGGCGAGUCUCUGGACAGCAACUGACGCUGAGGCACGAAGGCCAGGGGAGCAAACAGG